rnacentral:rRNA from 1 species
CACGUAGGGCGCAAGCGUUGUCCGGAAUUAUUGGGCGUAAAGAGCUCGUAGGCGGUCUGUUGCGUCCGCUGUGAAAACUCGGGGCUUAACCCCGAGCCUGCAGUGGAUACGGGCAGACUAGAGGUAGGUAGGGGAGAAUGGAAUUCCCGGUGUAGCGGUGAAAUGCGUAGAUAUCGAGAGGAACACCUGCGGCGAAGGCGGCAUCCUGGACUGGUCCUGACACUCAUGAGCGAAAGCGUGGGGAGCGAUCCGG